rnacentral:misc_RNA from 1 species
GUACCACUGUUAAUAUUGGUACACCACGCAACACAUAUGUAUGUCGAGAGAAUUGGUGAGGCGUCGUCGCGCGUCGCGACGGAUCCGCAGUCAACUCGGUCGCGUUGUAAUCGACACGCGGGCUUUCCCUUAAAACAUUCAAAUAUAUCGCGCUCUAUCCGAUACAAAAUACAAUCCCAAUAAGUUUUUCUGCAUAAGUGUUUUAUUUGUUAAUUUUUUUAUUUUACGUAGCAUGCCUACAUCUAAAUGUGAUUUUAAAAAAUCUGUUGUUUAUGUUGCUGGGACGUGUCGCCAAUGAAGCAUCAGCCAAACUGCGAUCUAAAAAAAGACUUUUCAAUUAGAUUCUAAUGUACACGUUGACUGGCAACAACAAUCUUUCCGAGUGUUGACGGUAAACGAGAACAUGAUUGAUGCUUCGGAGAGGUUUUUGGUGAAUUCCCGAUUUUGGAUACAAAGGGUGCUUGUUCCUAUAGCAGUCUUUAUUGGCGUGGGCGGGAAUGUCGUUUCCGUAAUUGUGCUCACAAGGAGGAGGAUGCGAAAUUCAACCAACGUAUACCUCACUGCCUUAGCUGUAGCAGAUCUUAUUUAUCUUUUUUUUGUUCUUAUAUUAUCAUUUGAACAUUAUCCCAAUAUUCACGAUAUAAAAUACAGCCUGUUCUGGAGGUUUUAUGGAAUAAGUCAUUGGUUUUGUGAUGCGGCAAGCAGCACGUCGGUUUGGUUGACGGUUUCUUUUACGAUUGAGAGAUACGUCGCAGUGUGUCAUCCAAUCAGGGGUAAGGUUCUUUGUACGGAAAGAAGAGCCAAGACCAUUAUUUGGAUCAUAAGUUUACUGUGUUUUGUUUUCACGGCAACCACUCCACUGGAACAUCAGCUCAAACUCGAGAAAAUAUGCAUUCAAAAGAUGUGUACGGCCAACAAUAACAACAAUAAUGUCAACAACAAUAACAAUAACAAUAACGGCCAUAGGGAUACAGAAAGUUUAAUUGCUUCGGUAGUCCCGAACACAUCUUUUACCAUACAAAAUAACAUAUCUCCCAAUGACAGUUCCGAAUGGAAUUGUAUUUCAGAAGUUCUUUUAAAUAACAUCACAAAGGAACAAAACGGCGACAGUGUAAAAAAUGUGUUAAAAAUAAAAUCUGAAAGAAACAAAGAUUUACUAACAAUUACUGCCAAAAAGAAUAGUUUUCAACCAGAAAAUAAUAAUAACACAAACGAAACCAGUAACAGUGCCCAUCCUGAUUGGAAACGCAAAAAGCAAGCUCGAAAAAAAGGAGAGUCCAAUUUGAUUUUGGAAUAUCCUGAGGAAGAAAACGCAAAUAACAACGAGACGAAUUGUAACGAUAACGAAAAUGGACUUCUGCAAACAUUUCUCUUUUCAGGCGAAUUAACUGACGAUCAGUAUUCUAACGAAACUAUAGAAAAUUUUACGUCAACUGCCGAUGCAGAUAAAGAAUUGUACGUUCCAUCGUAUUUCAUGAAGGAAAACGAAACGUGCUGUUAUAACACGAGUUACAUUGAUACGGAAUUGACAAAACUCGGAAAAAACAAAACCUAUCAAAAGGUCUAUUAUUGGUUCUCGUCGAUCGUAUUCGGAUUACUUCCGCUAGUUCUGAUAGCAACAUUCAACUGUUUCUUGGUCAAUGCUGUUUAUAAAUCACAAAAGCAGCGAAAAGUAAUGACUAAUUCGCAGGAUCAAAUGUCCCAGUCCCAAGAAAAUCGUAUAACGCUGCUUCUCAUUGGUGUUGUAGUUCUUUUUUUGGUAUGUCAAACUCCAACCGCAUCAUUUCUUAUCUACGAUGCUUUUGAUGAGACCAAAGAUACAUACUCAAGAAAUAUUAAAAAAGGUUUAGGUAACAUUUUCAACUUUCUAAUAACACUGAAUGCAUCGUGCAAUUUCAUCUUGUACUGCGUCCUGUCGGAUAAAUUCAGACGCACUUUCAAGAUAGUAUUUUGUAGCCGAGGUCUCAGCCGCCAAGAUACGCUCAUAACACUGACUGGAGGCAGCCGGACUGCCUCGCAACGUUUCCAUUCGCAGAGGAAUCUCAUCAAACGCGGCACUAGCGAAUACGUGCCCCGAACUCCAAGAAACUUGGAGGUAACUAUAUAUUUCUUUAAUAAGGGAAAAUAUAUAAACACAUACACCGUUCGAAUGAAGGUGUAAAAGAGAUGAGAGAAAGAGAGACUGAACAACGCUCGCUAACCGUCUUUGAUGGCUUAAAUCCGUCCUUCUUAUCUUCUUUCGCCAUCGACUCAGAGCUUAAAUAGUAUCCCAAGGACCAAGUCUCUGUUACAAAGACAAUUGGGCAAAGCAAAAACUCGCGACCUGCAUGUGUAAU